GGUUUAAAUAUUUAGCGCUUAAAUAAUGGGAAGUUAUUACAUGUAAGUUUUUGUGUGAAUUUAUUUACAAAAAUUGUCUAAAGGGUAAUUUUUGAGAUUUAUAGUAUUAUUAUUCGCAGUUUUUAUUAUUAUUAUUGAUUUAAUAUUUUAAGAUAUAGUUUCUCUAAUUUUGAUUAGCUAAGAUUGUGCCAGCAGCUGCGGUUACACAAUCAAUCAAAGUUAAUUUUUUCUAUUAGGUAUGUAUAUUUAUUAAUUAUGAUUUAGAAUUGUUUUAUUUUUAGGUGAAAUUUAAAUAAAUUUUAUAAAUUAGGCUAUAAUAUUAUAUAUGAAAUUCAUAGAUUAGACAAGGAUUAGAUACCCUUUUAUUUUUGAAUGUAAAUUGUUCUGUUUAGUACUAAUAGUUUUGAUCUUUAAAUUAAAAGAAUUUGACGGUAACUUGAUCAUUCCAGAGGAACUUGUCCUUUAAUUGAUAACCCACGAUAAAUUUUACCUUAAUUUAUGGUUUGUAUAUCUCUGUUUAAGAGUAUUUUAAUAGGAUAAUUAUAUUCUUUAUUUAUUAUUUAUAUAAAAUAUAUCAGGUCAAGGUGCAGCUAUAUUAAGGGUUGAGAUGAGUUACAUUGAAUUAUUAUUUUUGAAUAUGUAUAUUUAUUUAUACAUUGAAAUUGGAUUUGGAAGUAAUAAUUAUUAUAUAUUAGUUAUGAUAUUUGCUCUGGGUUAAGUACACAUCGCCCGUCGCUCUCGUCUUAAAAUGAGAUAAGUCGUAACAAAGUAGGCUUAUCGGAAGAUGAGCCUGGAAUUAAA
rnacentral:ncRNA from 1 species